UACGGAGGGUGCAAGCGUUAUCCGGAUUCACUGGGUUUAAAGGGUGCGUAGGUGGGUUGGUAAGUCAGUGGUGAAAUCUCCGGGCUUAACCUGGAAACUGCCAUUGAUACUAUCAAUCUUGAAUACCUUGGAGGUGAGCGGAAUAUGUCAUGGUAGCGGUGAAAUGCUUAGAUAUGACAUAGAACACCAAUUGCGAAGGCAGCUCACUACACGGUCAUCGACACUGAGGCACGAAAGCGUGGGGAUCAAACAGG
rnacentral:rRNA from 1 species